GGAAGUGCGGGCCGCUCCUGUGCGCGGGGAGGCGAGCAGCCUGUGCGGGAGGUGAAACGGCGCUGGCCCAGCCCAGGAGAACAAGGGUCUCAGGGCUGCCCCUUCCCGAAGUUUCUGGGCCUCCGACGGGGGAAGUAGGCGUGGUCCGCUCAGCCACGUGGCUGGGCACAGGCCGGCCAGCGCCGGGCGUUGCUCCUGAGCCGCGUGUGCCAUGGGCGCACGUGUAGAGCGCUGCGUAGGGAAGGCAGAGGAGUCUGUUUCCAAGGAAAGACGGGAGAUAUCUGACGGCUGCAGCCUUGUCGGGCUUAAAGAUUUGAGUAACUAAAGGGAUUCUGUUUUAACAAAAGACGAAGGGCGGGAUGAAGAAGAUUCCCCAUCUUGAAAACCCACGGAGAAAGGCAUGUGCUGUGGCAGACUCAAAAUGUCUCAGAGACCUGAGAAGAAAAAAAAAUGAAGGUACUUUUUCUUCUUGCGGUUACAUUUGAGGACAAGUCUUGAGUUGUGCAGCUUCCUUCAGAUGCUGAAGGUCGUGCUUGAGUUCUAGAAUUUCUAGCAAGCCUGGCUACAGGAAGGGAAAUGGUUUAGCAUUACUGCAUUUCAAGAUGCCGAAAACUUCUGUCUUACUCAUACAUGGAUCCAAGCAAGCUGCAGCCAUUGAGAGUGCAUGUAAUCUUUCCUUUCUACAAGUAAUCUCAGCUCGUGCUAUUUUCACCCCCAUGUUCUGAAGCACUUGUUUUGAUCAUGUAUUUACCAUGUGGCUAAGAAGGUUUAAAAAGAACAACACUAAACAGACUCCCCGCAAGUCUGAAAUAAUAAUGCUUUCUAAACAUCCUAGGAUCUAGAAUGUUUUUGUCUGUGGGUAUGAGAACUGUGUUUUUUUAACAGUAAACAAUGAGAUGUGGAAGCUUGCUUCCUACCUCACUCCCCUUCUUGCACUUGAAUCUUUUACGCCGCUAAAGCAGCAGCAUCUGUUCAGAUUGAGUUGUGAGUUUUUCAGUGUUUUGCCUCUUGUUACUUCUCCAACUAACAUGGAAAGUUGGGAGGAGGCGUUGAGUGUAAAAUAGCUUUGCCUUGAGUCACUUUUCUCCCGUAUUGUACUGUAGCUCAUAAACCAUAAUCGCUUGUUUGAAAACACUUGUGCAUUGUAUUAGUGACGAACAAAACUCUCUGUUCAUGGGAUGUGUGAGUCACAGGUAAAUCUGAAAUUCAUGUGUCUGCCCGGCGCUGCGAGUGGGGUGUGCGCAGUAACAACAUGGUAACAUGGUGUGUUUUGUCAAAAGUCUUUAUUUGAAUAAAGUGUCUUAGCUAGUUCUGUUCAAUA